AUACCCCACUAUGCCUAGCCCUAAACACAGAUAGUACAAACACAACACUAUCCGCCAGAGAACUACAAGCGAAAAGCUUGAAACUCCAAGGACUUGGCGGUGCUUCAAACCAACCUAGAGGAGCCUGUCCUAUGAUCGAUACUCCACGUUUUACCUCACCACCCCUUGACAUUCAGCCUAUAUACCGCCGUCGUCAGCCUACCUUGUGAAAGAAACAAAGUGAGCAAAAUAGUCAACAACUAACACGUCAGGUCAAGGUGUAGCACACGGGGCGGCAGAGAUGGGCUACAUUUUUCCAAAGAAAAAACACGAACAACAUGUUGAAACACACGCUCGAAGGUGGAUUUAGUAGUAAAAUAAAAAAGAAAACUUGUUUUAAACCUGCUCUGAAGCGCGCACACACCGCCC
rnacentral:rRNA from 1 species